GAAACUGGGUAUAAUACCCGAUAGGUCUCGAUUGCUGGAAUGCAUCGAGAUUUAAAGCUCCGGCGCCUAAGGAUGGGUCUGCGGCCUAUCAGGUAGUAGUGGGUGUAGCGUACCUACUAGCCUACGACGGGUACGGGUUGUGAGAGCAAGAGCCCGGAGAUGGAUUCUGAGACACGAAUCCAGGCCCUACGGGGUGCAGCAGGCGCGAAAACUUUACAAUGCUGGCAACAGCGAUAAGGGAACCUCGAGUGCCAGGUUACAAAUCUGGCUGUCGAGAUGCCUAAAAAGCAUUUCAUAGCAAGGGCCGGGCAAGACCGGUGCCAGCCGCCGCGGUAACACCGGCGACUCGAGUGGUAACCGUUAUUAUUGGGUCUAAAGGGUCUGUAGCCGGCCGGAUAAGUCUCUUGAGAAAUCUGGCAGCUUAACUGUCAGGCUUUCAGGAGAUACUGUCUGGCUCGAGGCCGGGAGAGGUGAGAGGUACUUCAGGGGUAGGGGUGAAAUCUUGUAAUCCUUGAAGGACCACCAGUGGCGAAGGCGUCUCACCAGAACGGACCUGACGGCAAGGGACGAAAGCUAGGGGCACGAACCGGAUUAGAUACCCGGGUAGUCCUAGCCGUAAACGAUACUCGCUAGGUGUCGGCCACGGUGCGACCGUUGUCGGUGCCGUAGGGAAGCCGUGAAGCGAGCCACCUGGGAAGUACGGCCGCAAGGCUGAAACUUAAAGGAAUUGGCGGGGGAGCACCACAACGGGUGGAGCUU
rnacentral:rRNA from 1 species